CAGUAGCCGCGGUAAUACGUAGGGUGCGAGCGUUAUCCGGAAUUAUUGGGCGUAAAGCGCGCGUAGGCGGUUUUUUAAGUCUGAUGUGAAAGCCCCCGGCUCAACCGGGGAGGGUCAUUGGAAACUGGGAAACUUGAGUGCAGAAGAGGAGAGUGGAAUUCCACGUGUAGCGGUGAAAUGCGUAGAGAUGUGGAGGAACACCAGUGGCGAAGGCGACUCUCUGGUCUGUAACUGACGCUGAGGAGCGAAAGCGUGGGGAGCGAACAGGAUUAGAUACCCCAGUAGUUCCUGUCUCUUAUAC
rnacentral:rRNA from 1 species